GGGACUAUAGUCCAAUGGUUAGCACAGUUGACUGUAGUGCAAGACAGACAGAGGCCCUGGGUUCGAGUCCCAGGUGUAACC